GACGAACGCUGGCGGCGUGCUUAACACAUGCAAGUCGAACGGGAUUUCGUAAACAGAAGCCUCGGUGGAAGAUUACUAAUGAGGGUGGCGAACGGGUGAGUAACGCGUGAGCAACCUGCCUAUGACAGUGGGAUAGCCUCGGGAAACCGGGAUUAAUACCGCAUAAAAUCGUAGAAACACAUGUUUUAACGGUCAAAGAUUUAUCGGUCAUAGAUGGGCUCGCGUCUGAUUAGCUAGUUGGUGAGAUAACAGCCCACCAAGGCGACGAUCAGUAGCCGGUCUGAGAGGAUGAACGGCCACAUUGGAACUGAGACACGGUCCAAACUCCUACGGGAGGCAGCAGUGGGGAAUAUUGCACAAUGGGGGAAACCCUGAUGCAGCGACGCCGCGUGAACGAAGAAGGUAUUCGUAUCGUAAAGUUCUGUCCUAUGGGAAGAUAAUGACAGUACCAGAGAAGAAAGCUCCGGCUAAAUACGUG
rnacentral:rRNA from 1 species